CAGUAGCGUAUGUAAAAGUUGUUGCAGUUAAAAAGCUCGUAGUUGAACUUGUGAGUUCUUUUAUAAAGUUGUAACUUAGUGUUAAACUUUUCAUAAACGGACUCUUCUUGUUAAAGGCUGUUAACCCAAUUCAUUUUGUGGUUUUCUAGAAUUUGACUUUUUUACCUUGAAGAAAUUGGAGUGUUCAAAGCAGGCUUAAUGCAAUUGAACAUAUCGCAAGGAAUAAUAGAAUAGGAUUGAUUUCUAUUGAGUUGGCAAUAGAUUUCGGUAAUGAUUAAUAGGAACCGUCGGGGCUAUCCGUACUCGUGUGCUAGAGGUGAAAUUCUUUGAUUACACGAUGACGAACUGAUGCGAAAGCGUUUAGCAAGGAGGUCUNCAUUAA
rnacentral:rRNA from 1 species